AUCAUCGUUAGAAUUGUUCUCUGGAGAUAAGAAAAUGAAAUGCUUUUUUUUUUUUUUUUUUGGUCUUUUUGGAGCUGCACCUGUGGCAUGUGGAGGUUCCCAGGCGAGGGGUCCAAUCGGAGCUACAGCUGCUGGCCUAUGCCACAGCCACGCCAGAUCUGAGCCAGGUCUUCGACCUGCACCACAGCCCAUGGCCAUGCCAGAUCCUUAACCCAGUGAGCAAGGCCAGGGAUCGAACCUGCAACCUCAUGGUUCCUAGUCAGAUUUGUUUCCACUGUGCCAUGACGGGAACUCCCAGAAUGGUCUACUUUUUAACAUAAUCUACUGAAGCCUGCAAGAUGUGGUUUUCCUUUUUUAGAUUACCUGAGUCUUUUUAAUUGGUUUGUUUCCAUAGGUAGGUUGUUAAGGAGGCAAGUAGCACCUGGAAGAGGGGGUGAUCCUCUAACCUAGUGGGUUACAAAUGUGGUUUGGAGUCAGUACCCAGAGCCUCACUCUACCAUUCUCUAGUUGGGUGGCCUUGGUUAAGUAACAAGUUCUUCUAGACUUAAGUUUCUUCACCUGCAAGAUAAAUAUGAUAACUAUUCUGUGGUCAACUUUGUAAAAUGUUGCUGGAUUAAAUGAGAAUAAGGCACAACAGGCCUUUACGGACACUGCCUGGCACAGGCUUUUCAUGUGUCAGCUGCAGUUAGUGCUAUUAUUGCCACGGGUGAGCAGGGGGAGGUGAUUAGAAGGUGAUAGGCAGGCACCUUGGUGUGCCUCCUGUGGUUCUCUUCUGCUCUGAGAAGCUUGUGUGUGUGUGUGUGUUUGCUUCUUAGCACUGUCUUCCUCAUGGGACCAAUGAAACAGCUGAAGCGAAUGUUUGAACCGACGCGUUUGAUUGCCACUAUCCUGGUGCUGUUGUGUUUUGCACUUACCCUGUGUUUUGCCUUUUUGCGGCACAAGGGACUUGCUCUUAUCUUCUGCAUUUUGCAGUCUCUGGCCCUGACGUGGUAUAGCCUUUCCUACAUACCAUUUGCAAGAGAUGCUGUGAAGAAGUGCUUUGCUGUGUGUCUUACAUAAGACAUGGCCAGCUUUGCAGACUUGGAAAGGCACGGUGGAUGGAAGCGGGUGGACCAUGCUGUAAAUAUCUUCUAAACCUCUGUCUCACAGACACGUGCCUUUGAUCUUGCAGCAAUGUGUUGCUUGCAUUCUGAACAUUUGAGGGUUGCUUUUGGAGGCAGUGGUGUGUUCCCAAACCUAAUGCCUGUAGCACCAUGUGAGAAGUGCGUUCUGUAUCAGCCGGAGUGGAAUCUUCCUCGGGCACCUAUGGAUGGGGUUCCACUGGGUUCUCAUAAAUAAAAACCUUGGUAGCAGCAGCAGAUAUGCCUGGGGCGCUAGUGAUUCUCAGGUGGCAACAGGCAAGCCCAUUGGAGAUGACAGGGGUGCAACAGGAAGGGACACAGUUUGGGGGUCAACAGGGACUUUGUAGACUUGCCCUCAGCAUGGCGUCCAUCACCCCUGCCCCUCACAGUGCAGACACACAUCUGUCUUGGUGUCUGGGAACAACUGAUUUUGCUCUUCUGAUAUGAGCCCCUGGAGAGCCUGGCCAUGCAAUGAAGUAGAAAAGGAAUACUUUUUGGUGAUGUGUAUUGUUUUUCAAACCUGAACUGAGGCUCUCCUGCUGCUUUGAUUCCCCACCUGGCUAUGGAAUGUAUUUUCUAGCACUUAGUGCACACUCUUUUUCUCUUGGGUCCCCCCACCCCCACCCACAUUUCUUUGCUCUUGACCUCCUGGAAUGAGAUUGAGAGAACAAAGCAGCAGCAGAAAACUAUGCUGCUUCCUUUUGGACAAAAGCCGGUUGGACGUGAAAAAUCUUGCUGCCCUCUGCUCUCUGGCUCUCUGUUUUUCCUCCAGUAUUUAUAAAUAUUUGCUUUCAAACUGAUUUUAUUUUCCUCUCUCCUCUGGAACGGGGCCAGAGGAGAGUAGGUGGGAAGACAGAGCCCUGCUGUGGAGCCAGCAGGAAGUAGGCAGGCCUGUGUUUGUCCUGGAGCCUGUGCUGAAAAGAGUUGGGGAAGACACCAUGGGCUGCAGGGUGGCCUUAUGCAGCCUGCUGCCUGGCCACAAACAGAGUGCUUUCAUGUCCCUGAUCUUGCCUAGUCCUUGAAAGAGCCUUGUGACGAAGCAGGGAUUAUUAUCCCCCUAGGCAGUCAAGGAAAUUGAGGCUCAGAGAAGUUACCAGAUCCUCCCAAAGCCAUAGUUGAUGGCAGAACAGAGACCCCAGAGGGUGCCCCAUCUUUGGUCCGCUUUGUGACACUGCAUUUCCUGGGGUGGUUUGGGUGGUUCCUCCUGUAACUGUUCGUGCUGUUUCCAUCAGCCAGGCCUGCUCCUUUUCUGGUUCCACUCUUUCUACAUCAUUGUACCUUCUGCCUGGUCUCCCUCCGGAAAGCUUCCUCUUGGUUUUGUAGGAUCUCCAUCAGUCCUUCACCUGCCCUUUGGUUCUCCUUGCUAUCUGACCAUCAGAAUGCCCUAUCUUGAUUGGCAUUGUGGGACCUCCAAAGUCACUUCCAAAGGAAGUCUAUUUGGGUUUGCCUUUCUGUUUUUCACCUAGGUCUGUCUGGUUCACUCUGGCUCUUGCUCUGGAAACCUCCAAACCAAAGGCAGUGGUCCACUGCUUGUCUUCUUGCUUGUGGCUAAUAGCUAACUCCUUUUUCCUACUGCAGCUGAGACCUUAGACUGGCAAGACUUUUCUUCCGAGCUAGGGAGGUAUGAAUAGGCCUCAUGGGGCCAGAGUGAGGGGCCAGUAUUACUGGAUCUUUUCUAGGCUGUCUUCUGCUGAGGCCCCUAACCUGUCUUUAGCCAGGAGUGGAAAGUAUAUGCUACUCUCUGGCUUGUGUGGGUUCCUUUGCAUCUCAGAUGCCAGCAGACAGUCCAGCUCUCAGAAGGGAUCUGGAAAGGGGCCUGAAGGAGGUUGAGAGUCUCUAAUGCUUCUUCUCCUUAGAGCUGAUGUGAGGCCAGCCUGGUCACUAGGAACUUCAGCCAUCUUGGAGUAAUAGACCUAAAAGCCUGAUCCCAGUGGGCCCCUUCAGAGGCUGGACUUGACUUUGUGGGACAUGAGGUUAGGAUGUCACCAGGCCUACAUAAUGUAGUGGUGGUGAAUGUGGGCUUUGAGGUCAGACAGGUCUAGGGGUGAGUUGUGGCUUAAUCACAUACUAGUGUCAUGUUGAAUGAGUUACUUCUGGUCCUCACAUCGCUCAUCUCUUUAAAGAUAAUNNNNNNNNNNNNNNNNNNNNNNNNNNNNNCCUGCUGGAUCAGCGCAGGAUGUCAGUGAGAAAUGUAUCUCAUGCUUAGCACGGAGAGCAGCAUAGGCAGCAUAGGUAAGUUAAAUCUUAGUAAAAGUAUUAUCAUUUAAUCACAGAAAUAACUGAUAACCAUUUAAGGCAGCAGAGUGAAUGUCUCUGCCCUCUGAUUUAUCUACAAAAAUUUAUUUGGUAGUAUGCGUCCUGCAUUGUAGACAUGACCAUGCACCAUCUCAUUGAAUAUCCACAAUAACUUUGCCAGACCAGCCGUCUUAUCUCUGUUAUUUGAGAAGGAAUGGGUAAUGUGUCUAUACCAGAUCUCACCAGAAGAGGGCACCAGUUCUUGCAUAAAAGCUCCUUUGCUCCAACUCUCCAGGCCUGUGGCCGGUUUGCUCAGACAGUUCCAGUGUGGACCCGUCAGCAGCUUGUGGGCGAUCCCUCCUUCCAGACAGGAUCUAACAGACUCCUCAGGUUUUCCUUCUGCCGCUUUACCCUUUAGUUGCUUCCCUACUUGUUUUGUCUGCUGGACUGUGGGAGGAAGAAAUGCAUUUCAGAUCUGCCGAAAGCUGUUACCAGGCAACAGUACUGGUUAAAAGCAACCGAGGGGGUGCGAUGAGGAGUGGAGAGUUAAGGUUUUAGACCCUGGGGCUGUUUCCCCACUCCCCUGCCUUCCCUCCUAUCUGUUUGCUGCUGGGGGAGGAAGAGAUGGUUGUGUUUUGGAAUAAAGGGGACCUCGAGGUGACCCUUUUGUAGAGGGGACAUGUACUCAUGUGCAAAGCUCUGCUUCCAGCAGCUGGGUGGGAACACUGGUCCAAAAGCUCUUCCCUGCGUGUGCUGGCCUGUGACCACUGAACUGGGAACAGUGCUGGUCCCCAGACCUGGAGGGCUGGCUUCCAGUCCUCUCCUCCCCAGCCUCAGAGAUUGCUUGUUUCACAUUGCUGCAGUGGGGUUAGGGGGUCCCUUUCCUAACUCGCUGCCUCCCAUCUCCUCCUGUCUCACUGUCUGAGAGGCUCCCCUUUUGCUGAUGUGCUCAGGGGAAACUCUGGUUUUCCAGCUUUUCUGCAUGGUUGUACCUGUGGCUACUGCUGUUGAGACCCGGCCUGAGGCCCCCUCUGUCACUCCCACAGAUAGGCUGUCUUGUCCCUGAGAAGGACCAGACCCUCCCCAGCUGACUCUUCUCACCGAGUUGAUUAUCUCAAUGCUUGGAGCUUGUGUCCAUCACUUUUGUGUGGUGACUUUGUGGGUCAUCCACCUUCAUGCCAUAUCCCUUCCACCCUAACUCAGGGAGCAGGAAAUACAGUCAUGGUAUACAUCUAAAUAAAAUUGCUUUUGGAACUUCUGUUAGAAAAUAUAGUUAAGCAGUGGUCCAUCCCUUAAAAAAAGGAGGUGGGGGUACUGGUUUGGCUGCUUUGCUUUUGAUAAUCCAUUGGAGUCACAAGCAUUGCAACAUGAGUAAUGAGACUUAGUGGAAUAAAUUCAGAAACGGAACUGCAGUCCUUGGCUGUGGAUCCCCUUUUCUUUCUUUUUUCUUUCUUCUUCUUCUUUCUUUUUUUUUUGUCUUUUUAGGGCUGCAUCUGCGGCACAUGGAGGUUCCCAGGCUAGGGGUCAAAUCGGAGCUGCAGCUGCCGGCCUACACCAUAGCCACAGCAACACGGGAUUCGAGCCUCGUUUGCGACCUACACCACAGCUCAGGGCAACGCCGGAUUCUUAACCCAUUGAGCGAGGCCAGGGAUCAAACCUGCAACCUCCUGGUUCCUAGUCAGAUUUGUUUCUGCUGUGCCACAAGGGGAACUCUGCUGUGGAUCCCUUUUUCUAUGGGGCCAUCUCCAUAGAAGGCUCUCUUCUCUUCUCUCAGAUAACUUUUCUUUUUGACUGCACCCAUGUCAUGUGGAAGUUCCCAGGCCAGGGCUCAAACCUGUACCAGAACAGUGGCCUGAGCUGCUUCAGUGACAACUCCAGAUCCUUAACCCAUUGAGCUACCAGGAAACUCCUCCUCAGAUAACUUCUGGCUUGAGUCUGCUGCAGGGUAACAGGCACUUCAAAAUUCACAUGUUCUUAAAAAAAAAAA
ensembl:lncRNA